rnacentral:lncRNA from 1 species
GAUGAUGUAAUGGGUGAGGCUAAAGAUCCCGAAGAAAACAACGCUUUGCCACAAAUUUUGCAUGAUGGAGACAAAAGACUGUGACAACGAAAAGGUUAGCAAAAAAUUGGAGUGUAUAUUAUAAGACCAUAAAACUUUGUUGUUCCAUAUUAUAGAUCGGGCCAGAAAAAGUUGUGUAGCUCAUUGAAAUUGUUACAGUGGAAGGCAACAAAUGGUAUCACUGACAAAAGUUUUAAUGAGAUCUUAAAACUCAUAAAGAAGUUCUUUUCAGAGGAGAACAAAUUGUCAGCAUCAACAUAUGAAGCCAAAGAGAUUGUUUGCCCUGUUGGUUGGAAGCACGUAAGAUACAUGCAUGUCCAAAUGACUGUAACAUGUAUCAUGGUGAGAAGAACAAGAAAUUAAAAGUUUGUUUGGUGGGCGAACCCCCAGAAAAAAGAAUAGUUGCUAAGGUCAUGUGUCACUUCUCUAUGAUAUCAUGUUUGAAGCGUUCGUUUCGUAACAAAGAGCACGACAAAAUGAUGUGGUGACAUAGAUAGUGAUGGAAAGAAGAACUCAUAAUAAGGUUAUAUGGAGGAGAUCUAGGAACUCGAGUAUGGACCAUAUUUGAAGAUACCCUAUUUCAUUGUCAAUGGAUAAAGUUAAAUGGAGGAGUCAUAAUAGUUGACCCACAGUAUGGAAUGACCACUAUUGACCUCAAUAUGAUUUGAUAUAGAGAUGAAUUAUUCGCCCUUGCCAAGGUUGUCAUCCACCUCUUUUGAUAAGAUCAUAUGCCUUAUGAAAUAGAAAUUCACAAUUAAUACCACUUGAGUUUGACAUUAUUUGAAUAAUGUCACUUUCUAAAUUUUGAUCAUUCGAGUGUUUCCAACACCAUUGAUGUCUUGAGUUGAACUUCCUUGAGUUGUGACUUUGAGUUAAUCAAUCCAUUUUGAUCAUGACUUUGCAUAUCAACUAAAGUCACUUUUUAAAUUGUUUGAUCCUUCACAUCAACAUGACCUUCGAAGCUUGAUUAAUUGCUCGACUAAAUGCAAGUACUUUCUUCUUCAUCAUAGCUAGGUUCUUUAGUCGCCAAGCCAAUGUUUGCCCUUCACCUUUGCUUAGUACCUCACAAAAUUUCCUUGCUAUGUUCACCAUCUCGAGCCAUCAAGUCACAUACUAUUUUGAAUCAACAAUUAAGCAUAUAAUUUAUGUGUUUCAUUCGUAUUAUUAUCUUCGCUAUGAAUGUCAUUCUUCAUUUUGUGAUUGAUCAACAUUAAGAGUGAGAUCAUUCCAGUCUCAUGUCUCAUUUGUUAUUGGUACACACAAUGACACAAGCUUGUUAAUUCAUUUUAUCAAUAUGCCUCGAGCUCAUUUCUCAUCUGCAAGUUAUUUGCCAAAUUUGAGACCAAAUAUAAUACAACACACAUGAGACUAAACACAUGCAAGUCCUAUAAAUCAUAUUUUAUAUUAAAACCCACUGAGGUUGGAGUAACAUUAAAUCCAACAAAAUCCACAUGGGCCUGUUUGAAAACACUAUUUUUUUAAAAACCCCAUGGUUUAUAAUACCACAAUUUACCGAAUACCAUGACACAACUAUGAUAUAUUAUUUUACAUCACUCUAAUCCAACACCAGUUUGGAGAUACAAUAUUUUAGUACAUGAGGGGAGGAGAAGAGCAAGACUACUGCCAUGUGCCAAUAAAGAUCAAUGUUUUUUAGACCCCACAAAUACUAUGGUAUUCGUAAAACCAUAGUUUAGAAUACAAAUCAGAGUUUCUAGAUAUGCUCUAAACAUCUUUUAGCCUAAAGUACUAUAGUAUAUUCAAAUAGUACAAUAUUGUUGUCUUAGAAAUAAAAAUAUAUUGUAUUCCCAAACAGAUCAUAGGUCGAUGCACUUUCACCGCUCCUCGGUGUCACACCCGGUUUUAAGGGUGUUGGUGUUUUGACCCGAGGGUCCUAACCAACGAGUGAAUUUGUACUACGUGUCUCAGGCCAGAUGGGUGAUGCAAGAAGACACAAGAUUUAUUCUGAUUUGGGCAAGAGAAGGUCCUACUUCCAGCGGGGGAUGAGACUUAUAUUAUCUUGCACCUAGGUGCUCGUAGUAUGGGGUACAAGCUGGUCGAGAGCGGGAGUGAAUCCCAAGUAUCUGUGAGUGAAUGAGGCAAUUGCCAAUAUCAAAAGUGGAGAGCAAAACGGUGAAGUGUAGUCCUCCAUCCCCUGAGAAAAAAGAAAGAGCUUUUGACAGAGAAUUUGUUCGGCUGGUCGAUUGUUCAGUCGUACGGUUGUAGCUCUAUAACUAGAAAACAUUGUAGCUUGAACUAAAAGGUUACA